GAUGAUUUGAAGCCCGUGACACAUCUUUUUGUCGUUGAUAUCACUUUAGCGAGUGGGAUUAAGUUACUUCGCCAAGGCUUCAAUUAUCUGAUAGAAGGGUCCAAAGAUGCUCAUGUAGGUCUUCUGUUUAGUGGCAAUCAUACUACAAAUUUAUUUAGCCUCCUUUUUGUGAAGGUUUUUGAAAUUACUACAUCCUCAUAUAGCCAUAAAAAGAAUGCAUUAAACUUUUUGGAUCAACUGUCCUCAGUCUAUCAGCAGAAAUACAUCCUUACAUCUCCUGUGGGUGUUGAUGGGACCCAAGCAUUUAUUGUUGAGAUCUGCAAGCUUGCCGAGUCUAACGGGUUACCAUCUGAGAGAUUUAGAUCUUCCCUUUCAGAAUUUUCUGCUGAUGAAGUGAGAAGCCAUUU